rnacentral:lncRNA from 1 species
ACCCCUACCCAACUUGUUCCCGCCAGUGAAUGUGCUAUUCUUGUUUUAGAGUUGUUAUUUGAUUUUCCCGUGGUGUGUGAUGAUUUGCUAAGGGAUGCUAUGAUGUAUGUGAAGUCCCUGCCCUCUCCAAAGAAUGUAUAAAACUGCUGCAAACCCUGGGCUCGGGGCCUCUCAGCGUCACCAGUUGCUGAGGACCGAGCUAGCUCGCAAUAAACACCUCUUUGCUGCUUACAUCGAUCUUGGGUCUCUGGUGGUCUUUGUGUUAACCGCUGUUGACCGGUGACGAGUCCUUGCUUCCCCAAUGUUGAAGAAUAACACCAAAGAAGCACGCCGAGGCAAGGUCAGAGUAGAAAUUAGAAGUUUAUUAAAGGACAGCAGAAAAGACUUCUCCUGGAGGAAGAAGGGGACCCAAGAGGUGGAAUCCGUGGAGGUGCGGUUGUCUCUCCAUUUUAUAGUUUCUUUCAGUGAUGGAAUGUAGGUGGGAAGACCUGAGGGGUGGGACACAGGUGGGCCAAAGAAGUAGUCUGAGCAGGAAGGACUUCAUUAACACUUCUUUGGGAUGGACUUUGGCCUAGGGCCUUUUCAGGACUUCAUUAACAUUCCAUGAGUUGUCCUGAGUUUCCUGGAAUCAUUCUCAGCACGGCCUCCAUUUUAGAUUUCACUCGGUAUUAGACCCGAUUUACCUAAUUAUACUGACUACCUAACUUUAAAUCUGGCUUCAUUUGGGGGUCCUGAAUUCGAGCAUAACAUGACAUUUCUUUGUCAUUUGACCUCUGCCUUUUACACACUUAAGCAUCCUAUCUUCCUAUUCAACAUAAAUGAUAAAAUAAUAGGUUGUCAGAACAACUAAUGAGGGGUUGGUCUGGGUCUGUAGGGUUUGGAGCAUGGUUUUUGUCCAUGUCAGUGGUUUUGAAUUGGGGCUGCAUCUGUCAGCAAUAUUUCCCUUUAAGUAGCCAUGUCUUUUAAGUAGCAGGAAUCUAAUACAGGAUCAAAGCAAGUACAAAGAUAAAACAUAUUACACAGGAAAGAACAGGAUUAGGUUUUUAAUUCCUGGUUCUUUUUUUUAAUAUUUAUUUAUUUAUUUUUUUAGUUUUCGGCGGACACAACAUCUUUGUUUGUAUGUGGUGCUGAGGGUCGAACCGGGGCGCACGCAUGCCAGGCGAGCGAGCUACCACUUGAGCCACAUCCCCAGCCCCAAUUCCUGGUUCUAAUGAGAUCGGGGAUGAUACCGGUGUUGAAAAUCACAUCUGGAUCCCAUUUCCUGGUGUGGAAGAUUGAACACCUGAGAAAUGCUGAGCCAAGAGUAAAAAAGUUUUAUUUAAAGGAUAGAACAUCCUCUGCAGAGGAGGAGGUCCAAGUUGGUGCCUAAGGGAAUGGAGGUAUCCUGGCUCUUUUAUAGAUUUUAGAUUUCCUUUAUUCUCAUCCUCCUCUGCAUCCUGCCAUAGGACCUCAAAGGUGGAGUGAUCCAAGGUUCAAAGGAAGCCACCAAGGGGUACAGGCAGGAAGGGACCACCCAGGGACUACUCAUUAACAACCCCUUGCUGGGAGGAACAAUUCCCUGGAGACAGGUAACUUUGGCUACAGAUUGGAGGAGGGGGAAGUGUUCUGGAAAUAUUAGCACUUUAUUUCCUUUGAAUCAGCCCCCAUCUUCCUGACCCAAUCAUCUUCCUGACCCAAUCUACACUGACUGUUCUUUGGCCCCAGCCUCAUUACCAUUUUGGGACUGUUGAUUUGGGUUUUAAUUCCUGGUUCUACCAUUUUGAGACUGUUGCUUAAACUUUUUAUAUCUCCAUUUUCUUAACUGGAAAUUGGGUAUAUUCCUUACUUUCCAGGAUUAUGAUGAUAUCCAAAUGAAGUAAUGUAUAUAAUGUGUCUGCAUCUAGAUAAUCUUCAAUGAGUGGUGUUAGCUUUCAUCACUGUAACCAAAACACCUGACAAAAACAACUUAAAGAAGAGAUUUAUUUUGACUCAGAGUUUCAGACAUUUCAGCCAAUUCCAUUGCUGUGGGCCUAAGGUGAUAUGGAACAUCUAGGCAGGAGGGAAUGGCAGAGGAAGGCUCUUCAGGAAAGACAGAGGGAGGAAGGGGAAAGAGACAAGCUAUACUUCCCAGGGGCAUGUCCCCCGUGACCUCCUUUUCCAACUAUGCCCACCUGCAUGCAGAUUCUACCCCCUCACAGUAGACCAUUCAGCUAUCAAUAGAUUAAUCCACUGAUAGGAUCAGAGCUCUCAUGAUCCAAGCACUUCCAAGAGCUCCACCUCUGCACAUUGCUGCACUGGUGACCAAGCCUUCAACACAUGAGCUUUUAGAGGACAUUUCAGGAUUGAACCAUAACAAAGGGCAAAUUCUUGUCAUUAAUAACCUGCAAUUCUAAAUUUUACGUAAAAUGUAACUGCGUGAAAGAAAUAUCUGCUCAGCCCCCUUCUAAAGUUCACCAGAAACUUUAUUCCAUCUCUUUACACAUCAAGCCUUCAGGAAACUCUCUUGGAUAAAUAGGUCCACUUUCUUAUUUUCAGAAAAGACCCCCCAACCCAACCCCAUUCUUAUUACCAGAAUUGAUAGGAUUUGACAUGAUUAUUUCCUGAAAAUGGCUCCCUGGUCCUCCCAAAGUAUGCUACUAUGCCCACCCCCCAGAAGAGGGCACCAAGUGUCCUUAUGACCUUGUUGUUGGGGUUGGGGGUGGAAGUGCAGGUGUGAGUUGUAGGUGGGUAGGAUGGGAUCCACUAAGGGGUAUUUACCAGCCCUCCAUGGUUUAGAAAAAAAAUAGCAUGUGAGGAACCUAACGGUAUAAAUCACAAUUUAGGAGGUGGUUAUUGGAACAACAAAAGGGGUUCCUGGCACAACAAAAUGGGUCAGUCACCACAAGAUGCUCAGAGCAGCAAGAACCCGUAAUGCACAGUGUGGGUUAAUUUGUCCUUUCCCUUUUUCAAACCCAACAUGUGGGACAAACUGGGAUUAUGUAUUGAAUUUACAAAAAAUAGAAUUGUAUUUAAUUUUUGAGACGGUGGCUAUCAUAUUAAGUAC